rnacentral:rRNA from 1 species
UACGAAGGGGGCUAGCGUUGUUCGGAAUCACUGGGCGUAAAGGGCGCGUAGGCGGCUGUUCAAGUCGGGGGUGAAAUCCCGUGGCUCAACCACGGAAUGGCCUUCGAUACUGGACGGCUCGAGACCGGAAGAGGUGAGUGGAACUGCGAGUGUAGAGGUGAAAUUCGUAGAUAUUCGCAAGAACACCAGUGGCGAAGGCGGCUCACUGGCCCGGUACUGACGCUGAGGUGCGAAAGCGUGGGGAGCAAACAGG